CUACGGGAGGCAGCAGUUAGGAAUAAUCUACAAUGCGCGAAAGCGUGAUAGUUUGAGUCAGAGUGCGUUUCAAUUUGGAAUGCUUUUGUGAAAUGUAAAAAGUUUCACGAAUAAGGACUGGGUAAGACUAGUGCCAGCCGCCGCGGUAAUACUAGCGGUCCAAGUCGCAACCAUUUUUAUUGGGUCUAAAACAUCCGUAGCUUGCUUUGUAAGUUCCUUGUGAAAUUCUAUCUCUUAAAGAUGGAGCGGGCAGGGAAUACUGUAAAGCUAGAGACUGGAAGACGUAAAGAGUACGUUUAAAGUAGCGGUAAAAUGUGUUAAUCUUAAACGGACUAACAAUAGCGAAGGCACUUUACGAGGACAGUUCUGACAGUAAGGGAUGAAGGCUAGGGGCGCAAAACGGAUUAGAUACCCGGGUAGUC
rnacentral:rRNA from 1 species